UACGGAGGGUGCGAGCGUUAAUCGGAAUUACUGGGCGUAAAGCGCGCGUAGGUGGCUUGAUAAGCCGGUUGUGAAAGCCCCGGGCUCAACCUGGGAACGGCAUCCGGAACUGUCAGGCUAGAGUGCAGGAGAGGAAGGUAGAAUUCCCGGUGUAGCGGUGAAAUGCGUAGAGAUCGGGAGGAAUACCAGUGGCGAAGGCGGCCUUCUGGACUGACACUGAGGAGCGAAAG
rnacentral:rRNA from 1 species